rfam:Gossypium raimondii Chr13_contig_589, whole genome shotgun sequence.
AGUCCAUGGUGAGAACACCUUCUCAAUAAAUCCUUAAAUCUCUCCAAUGUGUCAUAAAGAGUCUCAAUAUCAAGUUGAACAAAAGGAGAGAUGUUAUUCCUCAACUU